GGCGGACGGGUGAGGAAUACAUCGGAAUCUACUCUGUCGUGGGGGGAUAACGUAGGGAAACUUACGCUAAUACCGCAUACGACCUACGGGUGAAAGCAGGGAUCUUCGGACCUUGCGCGAUUGAAUGAGCCGAUGUCGGAUUAGCUAGUUGGCGGGGUAAAGGCCCACCAAGGCGACGAUCCGUAGCUGGUCUGAGAGGAUGAUCAGCCACACUGGAACUGAGACACGGUCCAGACUCCUACGGGAGGCAGCAGCC
rnacentral:rRNA from 1 species